rnacentral:pre_miRNA from 10 species
GUCAGUGCAUCACUACCUUGGCUAUAGACUGCUUACUGCUGAAGCUGCUCACCACAGUACAGUAACAGUCUACAGUCAUGGCUACUGAAGCCUGGC